rnacentral:rRNA from 1 species
UAAGACAUAGGUGGCGAACGUUAUCCGGAAUUAUUGGGCGUAAAGGAUGCGUAGAUGGUGGGAUAAGUUAUCAGUGGGAAAUCGAGGCUUAACCUUGUGGAAACUGGUAAUACUGUCCUACUUGAGUGCAGAAGAGGUUAACGGAACUCUAUAUGGAGCGGUAAAAUGUGACGAUAUAUAGAAGAACACCAAUAUGGCGAAGGCAGUUAACUAUUCUGCUACUGACAUUGAGGCAUGAAAGCGUGGGGAGCAAAACGGAUUAGAUACCCGUGUAGUCCACGCCCUAAACGAUGAGUGCUAGAUAUUGGGAACUUGAUUCUCAGUGUCGCUAGGUAACCCGGUAAGCACUCCGCCUGGGUAGUACGCUCGCAAGAGUG